AUUGAACGCUGGCGGCAUGCCUUACACAUGCAAGUCGAACGGUAACAGGUCUUCGGAUGCUGACGAGUGGCGAACGGGUGAGUAAUACAUCGGAACGUGCCUAGUAGUGGGGGAUAACUACUCGAAAGAGUGGCUAAUACCGCAUGAGAUCUACGGAUGAAAGCAGGGGAUCGCAAGACCUUGUGCUACUAGAGCGGCCGAUGGCAGAUUAGGUAGUUGGUGGGAUAAAAGCUUACCAAGCCGUCGAUCUGUAGCUGGUCUGAGAGGACGAUCAGCCACACUGGGACUGAGACACGGCCCAGACUCCUACGGGAGGCAGCAGUGGGGAAUUUUGGACAAUGGGCGCAAGCCUGAUCCAGCAAUGCCGCGUGCAGGAUGAAGGCCUUCGGGUUGUAAACUGCUUUUGUACGGAACGAAAAGCCCUGGGUUAAUACCCUGGGGUCAUGACGGUACCGUAAGAAUAAGCACCGGCUAACUACGUGCCAGCAGCCGCCGCGGUAA
rnacentral:rRNA from 1 species